GCACUCCCUCCGCGGUGAAGCCGGGUCCCCUACGGGGGACCGCGCCUGAGUGCGAUUGGCAAAGAACUUAUAGAGGAUCUACAUCUGUGAAUGCAUAGGAAUAAAAAAGAUCAGAACCAAAUUCCUGGGACUUCCCUGGUGCCGCAGUGGUUAAGAAUCCACCUGCCAAUGCAAGGGACACGGGUUCGAGCCCUGGUCCGGGAAGAUCCCACAUGCCAUGGAGCAACUAAGCCCAUGUACCACAACUACCGAGCCUGCUCUCUGGAGCCCAUGAACCACAACUACUGAGCCCACAUGCCACAAGUACUGAAGCCCACGUGCCUAGAGCCCGUGCUCCGCAACAAGAGAAGCCACUGCAAUGAGAAGCUCAUGCACCGCAGCAAAGGUAGCUCCCUCACCACUAGAGAAAGCCCGCACGCAGCAACGAAGACCCAACACAGUCAAAAAUAAAUAAAUAAAUA